UUCCAGCGACGUCACGGGGGAAAGCCUGAUAAAGGGGCGUGGUCUAAAGCGGAAGUGUUUGCUCCAGCUCAGCUGUUGUGGAUCCUGAUCCCUGACACACUGGAUCCACUGGGGAUCCCCUGCCUGGACCCGCGGAGGCGUGACGGCUGCGAGGACUCGGAGGUCUCGCCGCAGUCAGGAUGACGUGUGAAUUCUUCCUGCUGUCCUCUCUCUGGUUCGUCGUCGUCAUUUUCUGGAUGGAGACCAUCAGCAUGUGGCUCUUCCUGUGCCAUCUGUUCCAGGACCGCGCCAUGUACCAGUGGGGGGAGAGGAUUUACUUUGCGCACCCUGAUCAAAUAAUGUACAUAAUUAUCAGAGUCGACUCGUUGAGGUAGCGCCGAGCUUUUCAGAUGUUUACCCCCCGGAGCCAGUGGAUGAUUUUCUUCAUAAACAAAAGAAGAAGAAAAAAAAAAGAUAGAAAAUUUUAAUUUUAAUACACAAUAUUUUGUAAGAAUUACUUUUUUUUUAAAAUUUCGUUUGGUUGUAAAUAAAUGGCCGUUCUGGAGAUAGAAUUUGCCGGAUCUGCGCUGCGGAUCGGGGGGGGGGUCGGAGAAAUAAUUUAAAGAAAAAAAAAUUGGAAGUUCUGUGUUUCUUGCUAACAGAAGACGUUCGUGCCACGCAGCGAGAGGUGGGGGGCCGGCUUGGACACUGCGGACAGAAUGGGGGUCGCACCGGCCCAUUGGUUUCCUCUCUGGAUCGUCUUCAUCUGUGCCAAAUCUCGUCCGUUUUAUCGGUCGCUGUCCUCGUCUGGAGGGAUGUUUAUAAUUCUUCCUAAUCGUUAAUCAGACGUUAUUUUACAGAUUUUCGUAUUUAUGUAAAAUCAUAUUUUCAAAUAAAACAACGGGGUGCAAAAAAAAAAAAAA